rnacentral:rRNA from 1 species
UACGUAGGGUCCGAGCGUUGUCCGGAGUUACUGGGCGUAAAGCGCGCGUAGGCGGCGGUGCUGGCCCGGCGUGAAAGCCCCCGGCUCAACCGGGGAGGGUCGUCGGGGACCGCACCGCUUGAGGGCGGUAGGGGCGGGUGGAAUGCCUGGUGUAGUGGUGAAAUGCGUAGAGAUCAGGCGGAACACCCGUGGCGAAGGCGGCCAGCUGGGCCGUCCCUGACGCUGAGGCGCGAAGGCGUGGGGAGCGAACGGG